UACAGAGGUCUCAAGCGUUGUUCGGAUUCAUUGGGCGUAAAGGGUGCGUAGGUGGCGCGCUAAGUCAGGUGUGAAAUCUCGGGGCUUAACUCCGAAACUGCAUUUGAUACUGGCGUGCUUGAGGACUGGAGAGGAGACUGGAAUUCAGUGGAUGUAGCAGUGAAAUGCGUAGAGAUCAUGAGGAAGACCAGUGGCGAAGGCGGGUCUCUGGACAGUUCCUGACACUGAGGCAACGGAAGGCCAGGGGAGCAAACGGG
rnacentral:rRNA from 1 species